GGCUAAUACCGAAUAAUCUAUUUUACUUCAUGGUGAAAUACUGAAAGACGGCAUCUCGCUGUCGCUAUAAGAUGGGCCCGCGGCGCAUUAGCUAGUUGGUGAGGUAACGGCUCACCAAGGCGACGAUGCGUAGCCGACCUGAGAGGGUGAUCGGCCACACUGGGACUGAGACACGGCCCAUACUCCUACGGGAGGCAGCAGUAGGGAAUCUUCCACAAUGGGCGAAAGCCUGAUGGAGCAACGCCGCGUGAGUGAAGAAGGUUUUCGGAUCGUAAAACUCUGUUGUAAGGGAAGAACAAGUACAGUAGUAACUGGCUGUACCUUGACGGUACCUUAUUAGAAAGCCACGGCUAACUACGUGCCAGCAGCCGCGGUAAUACGUAGGUGGCAAGCGUUGUCCGGAAUUAUUGGGCGUAAAGCGCGCGCAGGCGGUCCUUUAAGUCUGAUGUGAAAGCCCACGGCUCAACCGUGGAGGGUCAUUGGAAACUGGGGGACUUGAGUGCAGAAGAGGAAAGUGGAAUUCCAAGUGUAGCGGUGAAAUGCGUAAAGAUUUGGAGGAACACCAGUGGCGAAGGCGACUUUCUGGUCUGUAACUGACGCUGAGGCGCGAAAGCGUGGGGAGCAA
rnacentral:rRNA from 1 species